GGUUAAGUUAUGAAGGGCGCAUGGUGGAUGCCUUGGUACUAGGAGCCGAUGAAGGACGGGACUUAACACCGAUAUGCUUCGGGGAGCUGUACGUAAGCUUUGAUCCGGAGAUUUCCGAAUGGGGAAACCCAAUCAUCUUUACCGAUGAUUACAACUUGAUGAAUACAUAGUCAAGUUGAGGCAGACGUGGGGAACUGAAACAUCUAAGUACCCACAGGAAGAGAAAGAAAAAUCGAUUCCCUAAGUAGCGGCGAGCGAACGGGGAACAGCCCAAACCAGGAAGCUUGCUUUCUGGGGUUGUAGGACUGAACAUUUGAGUUACCAAAGUUGAUGAUAACCGAAGAGUCUGGGAAGGCUCGGCAUAGAGGGUGAUACCCCCGUAGGUGGAAAUCGUCAACCCCUCAGUUCAGGAUCCUGAGUACCGGCCACACACGUUGAAACGUGGUCGGGAAUCCGGGAGGACCAUCUCCCAAGGCUAAAUACUCCCUAGUACCG
rnacentral:rRNA from 2 species